rnacentral:rRNA from 1 species
CUCUAGUGGUCAUAGCAAGGUAAACAGCAUGAUUUCUUCGGACCAAAGUGGGGGACCUUCGGGCCUCACGCCAUCAGAUGUGCCCAGAUGGGAUUAGCUAGUAGGUGGGGUAAUGGCUCACCUAGGCGACGAUCUCUAGCUGGUCUGAGAGGAUGACCAGCCACACUGGAACUGAGACACGGUCCAGACUCCUACGGGAGGCAGCAGUGGGGAAUAUUGCACAAUGGGCGCAAGCCUGAUGCAGCCAUGCCGCGUGUAUGAAGAAGGCCUUCGGGUUGUAAAGUACUUUCAGCGAGGAGGAAGGCAUUGUGGUUAAUAACCACAGUGAUUGACGUUACUCACAAAAGAAGCACCGGCUAACUCCGUGCCAGCAGCCGCCGGUAAUACGGGAGGGUGCAAGCGUUAAUCGGAAUUACUGGGCGUAAAGCGCACGCAGGCGGUUGAUUAAGUCAGAUGUGAAAUCCCCGAGCUUAACUUGGGAACUGCAUUUGAAACUGGUCAGCUAGAGUCUUGUAGAGGGGGGUAGAAUUCCAGGUGUAGCGGUGAAAUGCGUAGAGAUCUGGAGGAAUACCGGUGGCGAAGGCGGCCCCCUGGACAAAGACUGACGCUCAGGUGCGAAAGCGUGGGGAGCAAACAGGAUUAGAUACCCUGGUAGUCCACGCUGUAAACGAUGUCGACUUGGAGGUUGUGCCCUUGAGGCGUGGCUUCCGGAGCUAACGCGUUAAGUCGACCGCCUGGGGAGUACGGCCGCAAGGUUAAAACUCAAAUGAAUUGACGGGGGCCCGCACAAGCGGUGGAGCAUGUGGUUUAAUUCGAUGCAACGCGAAGAACCUUACCUACUCUUGACAUCCAGAGAAUUUAGCAGAGAUGGUUUAGUGCCUUCGGGAACUCUGAGACAGGUGCUGCAUGGCUGUCGUCAGCUCGUGUUGUGAAAUGUUGGGUUAAGUCCCGCAACGAGCGCAACCCUUAUCCUUUGUUGCCAGCGCGUAAUGGCGGGAACUCAAAGGAGACUGCCGGUGAUAAACCGGAGGAAGGUGGGGAUGACGUCAAGUCAUCAUGGCCCUUACGAGUAGGGCUACACACGUGCUACAAUGGCAUAUACAAAGAGAAGCGAACUCGCGAGAGCAAGCGGACCUCCUAAAGUAUGUCGUAGUCCGGAUUGGAGUUUGCAACUUGACUCCAAGAAAUCCGAAUCGGUUUUAUUCGUGGUCCAG